rnacentral:rRNA from 1 species
GAUGAACGCUGGCGGCGUGCCUAAUACAUGCAAGUCGAGCGAACAGACGAGGAGCUUGCUCCUCUGACGUUAGCGGCGGACGGGUGAGUAACACGUGGAUAACCUACCUAUAAGGCUGGGAUAACUUCGGGAAACCGGAGCUAAUACCGGAUAAUAUAUUGAACCGCAUGGUUCAAUAGUGAAAGACGGUUUUGCUGUCACUUAUAGAUGGAUCCGCGCCGCAUUAGCUAGUUGGUAAGGUAACGGCUUACCAAGGCAACGAUGCGUAGCCGACCUGAGAGGGCGAUCGGCCACACUGGAACUGAGACACGGUCCAGACUCCUACGGGAGGCAGCAGUAGGGAAUCUUCCGCAAUGGGCGAAAGCCUGACGGAGCAACGCCGCGUGAGUGAUGAAGGUCUUCGGAUCGUAAAACUCUGUUAUUAGGGAAGAACAAAUGUGUAAGAAACUAUGCACGUCUUGACGGUACCUAAUCAGAAAGCCACGGCUAACUACGUG